AUUGUUGCGAGAUCAACUGGAAGGAGGCGCAAGAUGAAUUUAAUUUGUACUGCUUAUGUAUGAGUUCUUCAAGGACACUGCUGAAUUUAUUCGCUUCCUAUGUUUUGAUCAGUAAUAUCUUGAUGAUCAAAUUAAAAUAUCUUGCCAAGAAUUGAGGUUGGUUUUCCCAUCUCUGUCAGAAUACAACUACUAGACCUCUUUUAUGUAUGUUCAUGUCCAAAUUCAUGUAUA
rnacentral:lncRNA from 1 species